rnacentral:snRNA from 1 species
GGAUGUGAGGGAGAUCUGGCUGUGACAUCUGUCACCCCAUUGAUCGCCAGGGUUGAUUUGGCUGAUCUGGCUGGCUAGGUGGGUGUCCCCUUCCUCCCUCACCACUCCAUUUGCGUCCCUCCCAAAGCUGCAUGCUCAGUCAAAGAGGAGGACCUUUCCCGAUAGAGGAGGACCAUUCUUUGGUCAAGGGUAUACGAGUAGCUGUGCUCCCCUGCUAGAACCUACAAACUCCAGAACGAAAAACAAAGACCAUUAAUCAUCUCAACAGAUGCAGAAAAAGCAUUCAAUAAAAUCCAGCAACCUUCAUGAUCAAACCCCUCAAUGA